AGGAAAAACACAUAUUAUCUUAGACUGCAAUCUAGUGUGAGGAUGAGAUGGUAUUUUAAUAGGGCUGCAUUUAUCAACUGUAACAAGGGAGGGAAUGUGCUCCAACCCAGCGCGCCUUGUGGGCAAUGCAAGCAAGAGUCAGCGAGUGCGACCGCCGGAGGAGUGCGGCGAUGGGAGGAAGGCAGACGGACAGACAGCCUGCUGGGAACGAGGGCGGUCUGCAGGUGAUCUCGCAGGGGAGGGUGCGGCACCCACUGCCCAUCUUAGCGGGAUCCCAUCCCCUCGCUCCACCAUCCUCAAUGCUCCUGGAAACCUGAAUUUCUGACUUGACUUGCGAUGGGAUUUGCAUGUCUAGCCAGUGACACUACUAUUUUCAGAAGUAAUUACAUUUUUAAUUACGCUUUUUAAUAGCUGGUAGCUGCUGCUUUGCAGUUUUGUUCCUGUCCCUCUUGGACGCACCUUGGAGCAACACCAGGAGCCUCCACUUCCCUUCCAGUGAGAUGUGAGAGUGUGAACACACAGCGAGAAAGGGGAGAACGCGUGUGUCAAUGCGUGCAACUGAUCUCGCAGCCACAUAUCACAGCUGGAGACUGAAACCAGAGCUGGGCAGUGCAUCUCAGAGCCACGGGAACAGCCCCUCAGCAUUUCCCAACACAAGUCUGGAGAAAGAAUGAGGAAGACAGAAGGGCCCAGAUCUGCAGCGUGCAGACAGAGCUGGUCCUAGGAAAAGCACACCAGCUUUCCUCUAAAUCAGGCGUUUGGGCUGAGCGCUUGUGAUUGUAGGAGAAAGGGAAAGUGAUCAUAUAAAAGCAGCCACAGGAGAGGUGAAAUAAACUCUUCAAAGAGGGCUCGUGCUGGUGCAGAUUCUGCAUUGAAAAUCCAGAGUCAGAGAAUUCUCUGUGACGUUGGGCAAGGCGCUGCAUCUCUUACCAGCUCAGACUGCCAGUUGGUCACCGAGACACACCAACCUCCGCACUGCUCCUGUCCAUGGAAACAGACAGAGGUGUGGAAGAAUGAGGGUAUAUCUUUUCUAGAGAUCCAAAAGAAGGAGAGCUCUAAAUACAACAGAAAGGAAUUAGAAGGCAGCUCAUUUUGAUCCAGGCAGAUCCUUCAACCUUUUGAAAUUUAAAGGAUCCCUGACUUUCCUGAAGCAGUCUCAAGACUCCCAUGCACCCAUGUGCAGAGAAAAUAAAAGUCCCUCUGCGCCGCCUGCUCAUUAAUUUGCUUUUCUUUUCUCAUCAUUUGUUUGCUAGCUUGUCUGCUUGGGAAGAUGGCAUGGGUUUCUAUGAUUUUCCAGUCAUUGCCUAACCCACCUGUUGUAGGGCCCAGCAGCGCUUAAUGGCACUGAGCACCACGGAGCUGCAAUGCCCAUAAGCAUGUCUGUUCCCAGUCCCUUUGGAGUCACUCCCUCACAGACACCCUUUCAUCAGCAGAUUUCAGGUGUGCAGCAAACCCUGGGCGCAUGGAGCACAGCAUACUGGAGCACUGCUGGCUGCACACCCCAGCACGCACCGGUGCGUGUCCCUGUCCAGCCAGCUACAAACAGCAGCACAGAGUGGCUGUGAUUUGGCAUCUCAUUACCACAAUGACUUCGGGAGUUCAGCUAUCUGGAGAAGAGCUAGGGAGGAUGUGGAGACCUACGGCCAGGACACAGCACCUAGCAAAAAAGGAUCAGCCUGAAGGGAAGAGAAGAGUGAUUUCCCUCUCUUGCUCUUGCAGACCUGCUGCAGCCCUGCAACUGGAUUCUCCAGCACACCCCAUGUUGCUCCCUGGCACCCAGAGAAUCAGCUGGAUUUUGCACCAUAGGAAAGCUCUGCAAACACUGUAGUUGUUACCAACACAGACACACAUUCCCACAAAUACCACUCUCAUGCUAGAUACAUCCAACCAAGCAGCCAAAUGGUUUAAAGCCAAGCAGUGGUCUCAGAGCCAGUAAACUACAGCCCUUGGAAAUCCCUAAGAACUCCAGAGGCAGAGUGCCCACUGCUCUGCACUGUCCCAUGGCUGCUGCAGUUUCCUACCUAUGAGUGGUGUUGGUUUUGCAGACAGUGCCACAUCUGAACCUGUCAGGCUGCAACAAAUGCAUCUCAGACCCAAGAGCCAGAAGCUUUGGAUGCGGUACCUCCAGAGUGCAGCCCUCCAGGAGAUCUUGGUGACAUCCAGAGCAGAAGGACCUGGUGCUGUACCUGGAAUUACCAGUCUCAGCCCAUGGGAGUGAAGUUCGGAACGUCUGAGGCACAUCUCCUCUUCCAAAUCUUGGAAAUUCUCCCACUGUGGUUUCCCAAACCUCGGUGUUGACAUGUCUUGUUGGGCCUUAUGACACAGAAGUUGGACUGGGUCUGUACUGGAUCCCACUUUUGCCCUGAGUCUAUUAGCAUAACAUUUUAGUCCCUCUCGCUCUUCCAAACUGACACACAGUACUGCUGAAGUUCCUAAAAAUCUGGGAUUCUGCUUUUCUUGGAAAUCAAUGGACUUUGCUGGAGACCGGGUGAUAGAACACACAGCUGGUGGAAUGGACAGCCAAAGAUCACUAUUUUCCUUUUAAGCAAAUCAAUGUGUUAAUUGGGAUUCUGGUGGGAUUCUGAAGCUGCUAAUGGAGGUUUUCCAGCUUUCUAACCCGGCUUAGAAAGAAAUGAUGCAAUCCUUGGAAAGUUACUAUUGAUUUGAGCCUCAUGAAGUUGGUGGCCAAGCGUCAUCGGGUCAGAUGAGAUCAGGUCUUCCCCAGACACCCAUAUGACUGUAGACACAGCUCCAUCUCCUACUGCAACUUGGAAUUCUUUUAUGGGUAAAGAUGCAGAGUUUCACAGAGAUGCUAGGAAAAAUCUAGAAAAAUCUCGAUUUCUUGUGAGCUCAUCCGUUUGUACGUGACUGAGAAGUUCUGAGCCCACCUGCGAUCAGGCAGUGGGUCACUCAGCUGCACGGCAUGAAGACUGAGCAGGUUCAUCACAGCCCUCAGCCUGCCCUCGAGCCCAGCAGCCAGGACUGCUUUAUUCUCAGUGUAAUAAAACCAGAUUCGCACUGAAAGAGAGAGAUGAAGUUUCCCUUGGAGACCAGGCGGAGACCAGGUGGCGGAGUGGAUCCUUCUGUGGUUGUACUGAAGAGUUUCUUAUGAAAGGGAAGGAGCUGUUUGCAGAACUGCCCUGGAAAAUGGUGGUUUAACCUCUUAGGGCACAUUCAGAAAGAAGUAUAUAUAUUUUUUUCUUCUGUUUGUUUAAUGAAAAAGUAAAUGAAAAAUAAAGUUAGAAGUGAAUCAUUUAGAGUGAGUAAAAUAUGUCACUUAGUUUGAAGUAGAAAGUAUCCCCUCACUUGUCAGCAUUCAGAAAACAAAUGCGGUACAUUUCAGAAUGGUGCACUGUUUCAUGUACAAAUGGUAGAAGAGAACGCUUUGAUUUGCUUAAAUUUUAAGAACGGAACGACUUGUUAAGUUGAACAUGAACUCAUAAAAUGUUUCAGUUGACCCAAAUCUGUUUUCUUCAGAGCAUGAUGUUUUAUCCACAUCUCUCCCAGCACUAGCAGUACGUCCCAGAAAUGUUCUGUACAGCAUCAGAAUAGGGCCCCAGCCUUUCUUAAGCACCUGUGAGCCCUGCUCAGAGGCUUUG
ensembl:lncRNA